rnacentral:rRNA from 1 species
GAGUUUGAUCGUGGCUCAGAUUGAACGCUGGCGGCAUGCCUUACACAUGCAAGUCGAACGGCAGCAUGAUCUAGCUUGCUAGAUUGAUGGCGAGUGGCGAACGGGUGAGUAAUACAUCGGAACGUGCCCUGUAGUGGGGGAUAACUAGUCGAAAGAUUAGCUAAUACCGCAUACGACCUGAGGGUGAAAGUGGGGGACCGCAAGGCCUCAUGCUAUAGGAGCGGCCGAUGUCUGAUUAGCUAGUUGGUGGGUAAAGGCCCACCAAGGCGACGAUCAGUAGCUGGUCUGAGAGGACGAUCAGCCACACUGGGACUGAGACACGGCCCAGACUCCUACGGGAGGCAGCAGU